rnacentral:rRNA from 1 species
UACGUAGGUCCCGAGCGUUGUCCGGAUUUAUUGGGCGUAAAGCGAGCGCAGGUGGUUUAUUAAGUCUGGUGUAAAAGGCAGUGGCUCAACCAUUGUAUGCAUUGGAAACUGGUAGACUUGAGUGCAGGAGAGGAGAGUGGAAUUCCAUGUGUAGCGGUGGAAUGCGUAGAGAUAUGGAGGAACACCAGUGGCGAAGGCGGCUUCCUGGUCUGCAACUGACACUGAGGCGCGAAAGCGUGGGGAGCAAACAGG